AAAUUGAAGAGUUUGAUCAUGGCUCAGAUUGAACGCUGGCGGCAGGCCUAACACAUGCAAGUCGAGCGGUAGCACAGAGAGCUUGCUCUCGGGUGACGAGCGGCGGACGGGUGAGUAAUGUCUGGGAAACUGCCUGAUGGAGGGGGAUAACUACUGGAAACGGUAGCUAAUACCGCAUAAUGUCGCAAGACCAAAGUGGGGGACCUUCGGGCCUCAUGCCAUCAGAUGUGCCCAGAUGGGAUUAGCUAGUAGGUGGGGUAACGGCUCACCUAGGCGACGAUCCCUAGCUGGUCUGAGAGGAUGACCAGCCACACUGGAACUGAGACACGGUCCAGACUCCUACGGGAGGCAGCAGUGGGGAAUAUUGCACAAUGGGCGCAAGCCUGAUGCAGCCAUGCCGCGUGUGUGAAGAAGGCCUUCGGGUUGUAAAGCACUUUCAGCGGGGAGGAAGGCGUUAAGGUUAAUAACCUUGGCGAUUGACGUUACCCGCAGAAGAAGCACCGGCUAACUCCGUGCCAGCAGCCGCGGUAAUACGGAGGGUGCAAGCGUUAAUCGGAAUUACUGGGCGUAAAGCGCACGCAGGCGGUCUGUCAAGUCGGAUGUGAAAUCCCCGGGCUUAACCUGGGAACUGCAUUCGAAACUGGCAGGCUAGAGUCUUGUAGAGGGGGGUAGAAUUCCAGGUGUAGCGGUGAAAUGCGUAGAGAUCUGGAGGAAUACCGGUGGCGAAGGCGGCCCCCUGGACAAAGACUGACGCUCAGGUGCGAAAGCGUGGGGAGCAAACAGGAUUAGAUACCCUGGUAGUCCACGCCGUAAACGAUGUCGAUUUGGAGGUUGUGCCCUUGAGGCGUGGCUUCCGGAGCUAACGCGUUAAAUCGACCGCCUGGGGAGUACGGCCGCAAGGUUAAAACUCAAAUGAAUUGACGGGGGCCCGCACAAGCGGUGGAGCAUGUGGUUUAAUUCGAUGCAACGCGAAGAACCUUACCUGGUCUUGACAUCCACAGAACUUAGCAGAGAUGCUUUGGUGCCUUCGGGAACUGUGAGACAGGUGCUGCAUGGCUGUCGUCAGCUCGUGUUGUGAAAUGUUGGGUUAAGUCCCGCAACGAGCGCAACCCUUAUCCUUUGUUGCCAGCGGUUAGGCCGGGAACUCAAAGGAGACUGCCAGUGAUAAACUGGAGGAAGGUGGGGAUGACGUCAAGUCAUCAUGGCCCUUACGACCAGGGCUACACACGUGCUACAAUGGCAUAUACAAAGAGAAGCGACCUCGCGAGAGCAAGCGGACCUCAUAAAGUAUGUCGUAGUCCGGAUUGGAGUCUGCAACUCGACUCCAUGAAGUCGGAAUCGCUAGUAAUCGUAGAUCAGAAUGCUACGGUGAAUACGUUCCCGGGCCUUGUACACACCGCCCGUCACACCAUGGGAGUGGGUUGCAAAAGAAGUAGGUAGCUUAACCUUCGGGAGGGCGCUUACCACUUUGUGAUUCAUGACUGGGGUGAAGUCGUAACAAGGUAACCGUAGGGGAACCUGCGGUUGGAUCACCUCCUUA
rnacentral:rRNA from 1 species